rnacentral:pre_miRNA from 1 species
AAAGAUGCAAAAUUUUCAAGUGUUCAAGUGUUGACAACUAUUUUUAGCUUUCAAACCCCCUAUCUUGGAUCACAGCCCCAUUGCCUAUCAUGGGGCUUGGAGUGGGGCUUGAUCCAAGAUAGGAAGCUGGAAAGCUUGAAAGUAUGAACUG